UACGGAGGGGGCGAGUGUUGUUCGGAAUUACUGGGCGUAAAGGGCGCGUAGGCGGCUUGGCAAGUCGAGUGUGAAAUCCCUUGGCUUAACUAAGGAACUGCGCUCGAAACUACCUCGCUAGAGGGCGGGAGAGGGAAGUGGAACUCUCGGUGUAGGGGUGAAAUCUGUAGAUAUCGAGAGGAACACCGGUGGCGAAGGCGGCUUCCUGGCCCGUACCUGACGCUGAGGCGCGAAAGCGUGGGGAGCAAACAGGAUUAGAAACCCCCGUAGUCC
rnacentral:rRNA from 1 species